UACGUAGGUGGCGAGCGUUGUCCGGAAUUACUGGGCGUAAAGAGUGCGUAGGCGGUAACUUAAGUCAGAUGUGAAAAUCCGGGGCUUAACCCCGGAACUGCAUUUGAAACUGGGUUGCUGGAGUGCAGGAGAGGAAAGCGGAAUUCCUAGUGUAGCGGUGAAAUGCGUAGAUAUUAGGAAGAACACCAGUGGCGAAGGCGGCUUUCUGGACUGUAACUGACGCUGAGGCACGAAAGCGUGGGGAGCAAACAGG
rnacentral:rRNA from 1 species